GACGAACGCUGGCGGCGUGCCUAAUACAUGCAAGUAGAACGCUGAAGGAGGAGCUUGCUUCUCUGGAUGAGUUGCGAACGGGUGAGUAACGCGUAGGUAACCUGCCUGGUAGCGGGGGAUAACUAUUGGAAACGAUAGCUAAUACCGCAUAAGAGUAGAUGUUGCAUGACAUUUGCUUAAAAGGUGCAAUUGCAUCACUACCAGAUGGACCUGCGUUGUAUUAGCUAGUUGGUGAGGUAACGGCUCACCAAGGCAACGAUACAUAGCCGACCUGAGAGGGUGAUCGGCCACACUGGGACUGAGACACGGCCCAGACUCCUACGGGAGGCAGCAGUAGGGAAUCUUCGGCAAGGGACGGAAGUCUGACCGAGCAACGCCGCGGGAGUGAAGAAGGUUUUCGGAUCGUAAAGCUCGGUUGUAAGAGAAGAACGAGUGUGAGAGUGGAAAGUUCACACUGUGACGGUAUCUGACCAGAAAGGGACGGCUAACUACGUG
rnacentral:rRNA from 1 species